rnacentral:lncRNA from 1 species
GGUGGCCUAGCUGUCCGUACUCCCCAAACGCAACCUUCCAGUCCCAAACCCAGGCGUUCUAAGCGCUCAGGACGACGAUUUGCGCUCACGCCAGGACCCUAGUCUUCAUUGGACCCUUCCUCAUUCUGUCCUCAUUGAGGCCAUCUGAGAAUAGGGGCUAUCUGAGAAUGCAGGGGAGUGGACAUCGUGUGCAGACAGGGAGUCUGAUUGUGAGUGCCACGGGGCUGAGGCCUGCGCCGACCUGGUCUGCUGGUGCUACCAGGCUUGAACAGUCUUCAAAUCCACUGCUAUUAGGCAAAUUACCUGGCUCCCGCUGAACUCCAGCACCUAGAACUAUGUCACACUCGUAGUAGGCCGCUGCAUUGGUUGAACAAAUGAUUUUGAAAGAAUGAAUGUCUUCCUCUGUGCCUGCAUUUCCUCAGAAGGCUGUAACAAAGAUUAAAUAGGAAAAUUCGUGGAAAGUUCAAU